UGAGUACGAGAUGCUACGGCAUCGAAGCAGUCUAUGUCAUACUUCCAAAAGCUUGCACUGUCAUAAACAAAGAAUGCCUGUACCAUAACCGACACAGGUGGGUAGGUAGAGUAUACUAAGGGGCGCGAGAUAACUCUCCCUAAGGAACUCGGCAAAAUGACUCCGUAACUUCGGGAGAAGGAGUGCCUUAUUUCUAAGGUUGCAAUAACAAGAUCCAAGCAACUGUUUACCAAAAACACAGGUCUCCGCUAAGUCGUAAGACGAUGUAUGGGGGCUGACGCCUGCCCAGUGCCAGAAGGUUAAAGAAGUUGGUUAGCAUUAGCGAAGCUGAUAACUGAAGCCCUGGUGAACGGCGGCCGUAACUAUAACGGUCCUAAGGUAGCGAAAUUCCUUGUCGGGUAAGUUCCGACCCGCACGAAAGGCGUAAUGAUUUGGAUACUGUCUCGGAGAGGGGCUCGGUGAAAUAGACUUGUCUGUGAAGAUGCGGACUACCUGCACCUGGACAGAAAGACCCUAUGAAGCUUUACUGUAACUUGAGAUUGAAAUUGGACUUUAUUUGCGCAGUAUAGGUGGGAGGCGUUGAGAAUAAUCUUGCGGGAUUGUUGGAGCCAUCAGUGAGAUACCACUCUUGUAAUGUUAGAUUUCUAACUUUGUAUCAUUAUCUGGUCAAAGAACAGUUUCAGGCGGGCAGUUUGACUGGGGCGGUCGCCUCCCAAAGGGUAACGGAGGCGCACAAAGGUUUCCUCUGAACGGGUAGAAAUCGUAUCUAGAGUGUAAAGGCAUAAGGAAGCUUGACUGUGAGACCUACAAGUCGAGCAGGGACGAAAGUCGGUCUUAGUGAUCUGACGGUGCUGAGUGGAAAGGCCGUCACUCAACGGAUAAAAGUUACUCUAAGGAUAACAGGCUGAUCUCCCCCAAGAGUUCACAUCGACGGGGAGGUUUGGCACCUCGAUGUCGGCUCAUCGCAUCCUGGGGCGGUAGUCCGUCCCAAGGGUUGGGCUGUUCGCCCAUGAAAGCGGUACGCGAGCUGGGUUCAGAACGUCGUGAGACAGUUCGGUCCAUAUCCGGUGUAGGCGUUAGAAUAUUGAGAGGAGCCUUCUCUAGUACGAGAGGACCGAGAAGGACAUACCUCUGGUGUACCAGUUAUCGUGCCAACGGUAAACGCUGGGUAGCUAUGUAUGGAGUGGAUAACCGCUGAAAGCAUCUAAGUGGGAAGCCCACCUCAAGAUAAGUA
rnacentral:rRNA from 1 species